rnacentral:rRNA from 1 species
CAGUAGCCGCGGUAAUACGAAGGGGGCUAGCGUUGCUCGGAAUGACUGGGCGUAAAGGGCGCGUAGGCGGUUUAUACAGUCAGAUGUGAAAUUCCUGGGCUCAACCUGGGGACUGCAUUUGAUACGUAUGGACUUGAGUGGAGAAGAGGGUUGUGGAAUUUCCAGUGUAGAGGUGAAAUUCGUAGAUAUUGGAAAGAACACCGGUGGCGAAGGCGGCAACCUGGUCUUUAACUGACGCUGAGGCGCGAAAGCGUGGGGAGCAAACAGGAUUAGAUACCCCGGUAGUCCAUGUCUCUUAUAC